AAACGACCAUCCCACGUUCGGAUUGCAGGCUGCAACCCGCCUGUAUGAAGUUGGAAUCGCUAGUAGUCGCGGAUCAGCAUGCCGCGGUGAAUACGUUCCCGGGCCUUGUACACACCGCCCGUCACACCAUGAGAGUUGGAAAUACCCGAAGCCUGUGAGCUAACAGUAAUGAGGCAGCAGUCGAAGGUAGAGCCAAUGAUUGGGGUGAAGUCGUAACAAGGUAAC
rnacentral:rRNA from 1 species